GGGCCCAUGGCUCAGCCAGGACAGAGCGGGGGCCUUCGGAGCCUCAGGUCGGGGGUUCAAAUCCCCCUGGGCCCG
rnacentral:tRNA from 1 species